AUAGCUAAAUUGAAUAUGUGAAUGAUAUUAGAAAGACAAUAAUUAAUGACAUUACAUUUUAUUGGUCACUCAUGAAUACCCAACCUCUUUCAUUAAUGAUACCAAGGUCAAUCAUAUCAGAACCAAGUACCUUUGUCCUUUACCUUCACAACAAAACCAAGGCUAUUGGAACCAUUUGGUUAUUUCCAUCACUUCCAAUGGCAGCCAAUAACUCUCAUUUGCAUAACCCAUUUAUAAAACACCAAUAUAAACCUGUUACUUUUCUACAACCAAC
rnacentral:lncRNA from 1 species